GGGGAGACUCCCUCCCCAGUGUACGUUUUUUGAGUGCCGGGGGUGAGGUAUGUUGAAGAAUUCAACACAGCCUUUCAUCUUCUAGAAUUGCUUCUUCGGAGCUCUCUACCAGCUCUAGAAAUAUCUGUUAAAUUAAUUGUACCAUCAACCUUGGAGAGAAACCGCCAUAUAAAAAGUGUCAAGAGUCUUCAUCACCGACUUGGCCUAGCUUCUCUACACCGACUUUAGAGAAGCAUCUGGAGCCUCUCAUCACCGCCUACAAAAUUAGUAUGAAUAGAGUGUUGUGUGUGCUGUGUCCUGUAAAAAUCACGUGAAUGUGUGUGUGUUAAAGAGGGAAAUUCUUGUGUGUGUUAAUGUCUUGGUAUGAGUGAGCGGAAAUUACUGUCUUGCUG
rnacentral:misc_RNA from 1 species